AAGGCUCACAUGCGAUCUCCCGUCUGAUCACAGCAGAUGGGACUGAGGCCCGUGCUGUGUCCUCUUACUGCAGAGUCCUCUGGGCUAAAGAACCACACUGGACCCAAGGCAUUCUGGGUUCAUAGUGAAUUUGGUGCCCAACAUCCUUUCCUUCAGACAAGGAAAUGGAGCCCUGGAAUGUUUGGGCCAUUUGGCCAAGUCACACAAUGUGCCUGCAGCAGAGCCUCCAGGCCCGUGUUCAAAGGGUGACAUAACUCCAGCUCUCGACCGCCUCUGUCUGUGGAGAAAGAGCCAGGCCUGUCUCCAGCCUCGCCCAGGAGGCCCAGAGAGCAGGCUGAGGGCAGGCAGCUGCUGCCUUAGGGGCAGACGCCUGCAGAGUCCCAAUCCUAAGCCCAGUUACAGAAAUAAUGUCACCGCGUACUGAGUCCUCGUUGCGCCCCAGCACUGUGCUUUCCACAUAUGGGCACAAGUGAAUGGCCCAGCAACCCUAUGAAGAGCGUUAUCCACCCCAUUUUACAGAUGAUGGGACUGAGGCUCGGAGAUGUAAUGUCGCUUGUCCAGGGCCACCAGUCCCCAUAAUUGGGAUUCAGGCCCAGGUCUGUGGACGCUACAGCCAGUGGUCACCACG